GUCUAUAUUCUUUGCAGGGUACUCCAUCUUAUGAACAGUUUAUGUAUGGGGAUGCUGACUCCAAGUUCGCUCCAUCAGUAAAAGGAGUUGCAGCCACUGCUCAUAUAGCAUGUUACUAUGUUACAUUUUAAACUCCCCCCAUAGAACUGAUAGUUGUAGUUACAUUUGCUAAAAUCUGAAGCAUGUGGCCUUUUGUAAUAUGCAUCUUUUUUUGUUCCUAUUUUUUAUUUGUUGGAGGACAACAUGUAUGUACUCAUAUUUUUGGUUCAUCUUUUUUUUUUAUGUAUUAAUCGUUUGCAUGGCACAUGAUGCCUAAUAAUAAGAAAAGAGAUGUGUAU
rnacentral:lncRNA from 1 species